UGUAAGCGUAUACCAAAGUUGUUGCAGUUAAAACGCUCGUAGUCGGACUUUGGCAGUUCCGGAUGUGUGCACGUCGUGUGCGCACUUCGCGGGGAUUGCUUUUGUGGUCUUGCGUAGGAUGAGGCACUUUUAUUAGUGAACGUCCUCACGCAACCACUUUUUACUGUGAGAAAAUCAGAGUGCUCAAAGCAGGCAUUUGCCGUGAAUGUAUUAGCAUGGAAUAAUAGAAUAGGACUCGGUUCUAUUUUGUUGGUUUGUUGGGGCUGAGUAAUGAUUAAGAGGGACAGUUGGGGGCAUUUGUAUUUCGGCGCUAGAGGUGAAAUUCUUAGAUUGCCGAAAGACAAACUGCUGCGAAAGCGUCUGCCAAGGAUGUUUUCAUUGA
rnacentral:rRNA from 1 species